rnacentral:lncRNA from 1 species
AGUUCACCUCCUUUGUAAUUAAAGGCUUCCAAGGUAACUUGCAGACGGAUGUUAUUUACACUGACUUCAGUAAGGCAUUCGAUUCUGUAAACCAUUCUCUUCUUGCACAAAAGCUCGACCUUCUAGGGUUUCCGCCCAAUCUGUUGAGAUGGAUUUCUAGCUACCUGUGUUCUAGGUCUCAAAGGGUCCUUUUCAAAAACUCCUUAUCUUUUCCUGUUAUGGUUACUUCUGGAGUACCACAGGGUAGGCAUUUAGGCCCCUUACUUUUCACACUCUUUAUUAAUGACCUGCCUUCUGUUUUAACAAAUUCUCGAGUACUUAUGUAUGCGGAUUAUGUUAAACUCUGUGUCCAGUAUAAGCACAUUUGAUUUCACUCUCGCUUGCAAUCUGAUCUCAAUAGCUUUCAGUCAUGGUGCUGUGCAAAUAUGCUAAAACUUUAAUGCCUCGAAGUGCAAUGUAAUGACUUGUUAUCGCUCCAGCCCCUUCGUGGCUCCUUACACCAUCUGCGGUAGUUCUCUUGAGAGAAUUACAUUGGUUGAUGAUCUAGGUGUUAAACUAGACCCCAAGUUAAAGUUUUCUGAACACAUUUCUACCAUGGUAAAUAAAGCCAUGGGUGUGCUUGGGUUUAUAAAGAGGUGGUCAAAGGAAUUUGAGGACCCCUAUAUAACGAAGACUCUCUAUAUCUCGCUUGUUCGUCCGAUUUUAGAAUACGGCUCAUGUGUAUG